GCAGGGCAAAGAAGAUGACGAUCAGUAUGUGAAGUUGGUGGAUUCAGAAGCAAAGCUCAAAAUACGGAUUGCAUAGCUGAUAAACUACCCUACCGAGAUUAGCACCACUAUCACAUCUCCACUAUCUUAUCUGCAUGGGUUAUAUUUACAGAUUUUCUCCCAAUGGUUGUAGACCACUAAUAUCGGCAAUAAGUUCUGCAAUUUUACCAUCGUAUCAGUCUCAUAUAUAGAGGGAAUUAAAUGGAUACUCCACCUACAUUUAUUUCCUAACAAAGAGAAGUUUGCAGAGGUGAAGAGCUUGCAACGGAUAACCGUUCACAAUAAGAAAAUUAGCCAAAUUUAGUAGCUUCUUUUGAAGUUAGCUAGUAAACUCAAGCACUGUGUCUGUAAGAGGAGCAUAUAGAUGCAUAAUGUAAUUAAAAUAUAUGUAUAUAUACAUAGAGAGAGAGAGAGAGAUAGAUGGAAUGAAGCCCCACAUGGCAGCGUACCUUCUCCCUUGAGGCGUCAUAAUGCCAGUCCGAUAAUAUCUCAAGGCUUGUUUGGUAUAUAAGGAUAAGCAGCCCAGUGAACAAAGACCACAAAGACAAGUAUCCAAAUGAAUUCAGCAGCAGAGACAGUUCUAAGUGGUCCAUCAACCAGAACAGAAAAGGUCCACAAGGGGAAGCCUGGAGUUUUGCUUCUAACACUGAACACAAACAAUUCAUAUAAAAAGUGAAACAAAUCAUGAGAAACAGCAAGUCAUGCGACUAUGAAAGUUGGGCCACUGUAUAAGAAAGCAAAGCAUACCACAGACAAUACAGCGGUCGAACUAAAUAAUGCAACAUAAUAUUAAUGAAGAAAUAGUAAACCAGUUUCACCACCAGAAAGUUGCACUAGUAGAAGCAAUGUUAUAAGUUGAGGAGAUCUAAUUCAAAGUCCUCAACCUCAACUAUUGGGUUUGGUUUGCUUGACUGGCAUUUCUGUUAAUUUCUAAGGUGGAGACACUGCUUGUUACAGUAAAGUUCAAAAGAAGUCUUCACUAUUCAGUUGAUUGAUUAAAUGAAGUCAAGUUUCCAAGAGUAAAGUA